GACGAACGCUGGCGGCGUGCUUAACACAUGCAAGUCGAGCGGAGCGGCGAACGGGUGAGUAACGCGUGAGUAACUGCCCCCCUCUCUGGGAUCACAGUUGGAAACGGCUGCUAAUACCGGAUAGUUGGGGAUGACUCGCGUCCUAUCAGCUUGUUGGUGGGGUAGUGGCCUACCAAGGCGACGCCGGGUAGCCGGCCUGGGAGGGCUUCCGGACCCAUUGGGCUGAGAUACGGCCCAAGCGCCGACGGGAGGCAGCAGUGGGUAAUAUUGCACAAUGAGGGAAACCCUGAUGCAGCAACGCGCGGGCGGGAUGACGGCCUUCGGGUUGUAAACCGCUUUCAGCCAUGACGCGGUAGUGGCAGAAGAAGCACCGGCUAAAUACGUGCCAGCAGCCGCGGUAAUAC
rnacentral:rRNA from 1 species